AGUACCAAUUGAACAUCAUUUAAACACCACAGCCUACCUGAGUAUUGUUACUUUAUGACCACAGUGUACACAUCUUCUGAUGGAUACUUCCAGCAGGAUAACACGACAUGUCACAAAGCUCAAAUCAUCUCAAACUGAUUUCUUGAACAUGACAGAAUUUUUUUUUUUUUGAGUCAGUGACAUUUUCAGCACUAUUCUUUUUUUCUUGGUACUAUUAGAUAAAAAGUGUUCAAAAGUUUGUUUUUUUGGCUUUUAAUGUAAUCCACUGAAAUGUGAGAUUUCUCUAAACCUUCUGUUAUUGUCCGGUUUCACUUCCUGUCUCGCAGCAUCUGCAGUUGAUCCCGAAGUUUCUUGAAAGUUUUUGUACGGCUCUUUAUCACUGUGUGUAUCUAUAACCUCCUAAGUCACCGAAGCAAUAAUAAUCUCCUGUAUCUUCAGCCUGGACUCCACUGAUGAUCAGAUGGAAAUUCUUACCAGAUCCACUUCCACUAAAUCGAGAUGGGGUAGAGGAAUAUCGGACAUCUCCUUCAUAGAUGAGGAGUUUAGGAGCUUCUCCUGAUUUCUUGAGAUUGAAGUCAGUGUGAGCGCCAUUGCCGCUGAAUCUAGAUGGGACGUUUGUGUGACGUUCGCGUAUGUAAUAAAUGAGGAGUUUGGGAGCAUGUCCAGGUUUGUGCUGGUACCAGGACACACAGUUCCUCCAGAGACUACAGUCAGCAACAGUUAUCAUCCUUAGUGUGAACGGACCUUUAAACAUGAUGAGCUCACAUGAAGCCAGGCAAUCCUGAUGCUUCCCAGUAGGUCCUGCUCUCUCCUGGGAAUGAAGCCAUAUCUGAGUCCCCUAUGACAGGUUCAUUGUGACAACAUGCCCCAGUAGCAAUCAAUGACAUGUAAUGGUGUUGUGAAUUAACUCACAAAACACGUUCACAUCAUUUUUGGUGGGAUUCACCAGUGUUGGGUAAGUUACUCUAAAAAAUUAAUUACUAGCUACUCAUUACAUCUUCAACAGUGUAAUUACAUUACUACUAUACUAAUUACUCUCUCUAAAAAGUAUUGCAUUACAUAUUACUAUUACUUUCUAAAUCCCAUAUCAACCUCGACCAGAUGAACAAUACAAGGAUAGACAUAAAACCGCUCCUUUAUUGUUUUAAAUAGAAUUGAUAUACAGUAUUUAAUGCAAUUACACCAGAAGAAAAAUUAAAAGUAAUCCAUUACUUUACUUUUUCAAGGGAAAAGUAAUUAAAUUACUGUAAUGUAAUGCAUUACACCCAACACUGGGAUUCAAACAUGAAGGAGCCAGCUCAUGUACUGCCACUAGAUGGCAGUAGAAUACAGAAUUCCACAGCUUCCGUCUCCAUGGCAACCACACCUUUGACAUCAUUCUCUGAUGGAAACAUUUGUGUGUGUGUGUUUUUACUUAUAUUCUUAUUUGUGGUCUUGUAUUUGCUUUUGGGAUUUUAGUCUUUUCUGUCUUUUGUUUGCUUGAUUUUCUUUUGUCACUUAAUUAGUAUGCAAUCAGACAGACACAAAACUGCUCCAAAACGUUUCUUUGCUUUCACCCACUUUUCAUCUUAACUAAAGAAUCCUUCCAUCAAGCAAUACUGAAACUAAAAUGGCAAAGCAAAAUAUUUUAAUAUAUUUCAUAAUGCAAAAAAAAAGGCUGACUACACUCGUUUUUGUAUGUUUCUCCCAGUAGUUUCCUUUUCAUCUUUUGUUUUUUUUUUUCUCCUACAAGUUCAGUUGUUUUCUAACUUCUCUUAUUGCCUGUAUUACCACUAGGUGGCCUCAGUAAACUUCCAAGAGUGAUGUAAAAUGCCUUAAAACUAUCAAUAUCAAUAUAUAGAAUACAAAAUAAUAAGUGUGUGUAUGCAUGUAUACGAGCUUAUGUGUGUUUAUGCAUAUAUUCACACACAUUUUCCCUGUAUAUUAUACUCUUUGUUUUGUUUCCUGUAUUUUAAAACAUUAUAGGCUAACUGAGAAGAGUGAGCAGAAAGUUAUGAAGAAUAUCCACUGUAAGAAAAGAGCUGCUGCAUCACAGCUUUAUUAGAAGUACAAGAGGAACUUCAGAGUCUGUACAGGCAAAAAUCGACUUUGACAAAGAGAGACCUUGGAGUUAUAAAGGUUGAGAGCCACUGAUCUAGAACAAUCUACUGCCACAGCUUCAGGCUACAUUGGCCAGCAUGUAAUAAUUAAAUUUUCCAAGCAAAACAGCCUUUGGGCUGAAUAUCAUUUCAAUAUUCAUUGUACAGGUACAACAAGAUCAGUUAAAGUUACUGGAUGUUCUCUUCUAGUUGCCAACAAAUUUUCAAUUUCUUUUCAGGCAACAGUAAUGAACUGUGAUAGCGACAAUUGCUUUUCCUUCCUUUGCUAUUUAACAUUUUUUUCAUACAUGUCAUUUCAAAAAUUACGUUGUCAUGCAUAAUUUGGUAUGUUUAAUUCAGAGCUGCUUGUCUGGAGCUUUAGGCUACUUCAGCUGGAAUGGUGUCUUUUCUUUAUUUCUUCUAUUUCUUCAAAUGGCACAUACUAAAAUAGCUGGUAAUAAUAUUAUUCUUGGAAAUAAAAAGAAAAUGAAAUUUCACCUGUUUAUUAUGUUCUCAGACUCAUUUAAGAAGCUUCCUGGAGACAAAACAACAGAACUGUGUAGAUUUGAAAGCCUUAAAAUGUUCCCAGAGUGCAAAAUCAAUGAACACAUCUAAAAGCAUUUACCUUAGACCUUAUACGUAAUGUCUGAAACAAACAUUCAAAUAAUGUGCACCAUCUGCAUUAAUGUCAGCUUUAGCUGUGGCCAAAUCUGUUGUCGCAAUGUCCCAACCUGUGUGAAGGCAAAUUCAAGGGCUCCCUGAAAUGGUUUUAAAAUGCCAGUGCGGGCAUUAAGGCACUUCAGUUCGUGCAGAAGAGCUGCUUUACUGUCAUCAGAAUCCUGAGAGAGCAGUUUGAGAGGUGGAGAUAAGACAGGAUACUGUACACAGGCCACAGAAAACCUCGCUCCUCACCUCUCCUUUAUGGCAAGUGUAAAUCCUGAUUGCCUGCAGCACACUUCCCUUAUUCAUCCUCAAAGUGUUAUAUAUGAAGAAGAUUUUAUACUAGAUGUUUGUCUGACAUUACCUUUAUAAUAUAAGUUUAAUAUUAAGAUUUCUAAUAUGUUUGUUACACAGCUCUCUGGA